CUGAAUUCCAAAACAUCUAGAGGAGCACAUUGAAUAUUCUUUUCCCAAGAAACCUCAUGAAAUUCCUGGUGUUGCCCCAUAUGAAGAAUUCGAUGAAAUUCAAAAGAUUCAAAGGGGUUGUGAAAAGUCUAAUAAAGGGAAAUUCAGCAAUCUGGCUGUUGGACCACUGAAAAAGGACCGGGCAGGACCCAGCCGAAACCUUAACAAGAAAGACUCAGCAGCUGGAUCUUUUGGCUAAUGGGGGUGAGGGGGCUGAGUGGUACUCUACCUGAGGUGGAGGCCGUGGCAUGUGGGCGGCCUCACAAAUCAGGCAAGAGCGGGGUCCUGGUGGUAGUGGCUUCUCCUCAUCCAUCGCUUCCUGAAGUCCCCCACUCGAGGCAAAUGAGGCCGGAAAGAGAGAGAAAGAGAAAAAAAAGCAGGAAAAGGCUUUUGUGGAGAAUCCAUAAACAUGGAUUAUGCUUGUACUGAUGGGACCUCUGAAUUCUUAUAUUAUUCAGUCUGAUUUGGCAUUAUAUCUUGGCUUUUGCAGCAAAGAUUUUCAUUUCCUAAUUAAAACACUAUGGACCUACAAUGUCUCAUUCUGUCAUUUAAUUGCUGACCCUGAAAUGCUGAAAUGUUUAUAUGUUCGAUUUCUUCUUUUUUAUUCAUAUUUCUCACAUACCAUAUACCCGUAAUACAUGUUGUGUACCUGCAAACCUUCUUUUCACCCCAGAGUACAUGAACAGGUGAACAUCCUUUCAGCUUGAGUCCAGCUGUGCCAUUGGCCAAAGUGACGCUCAUACCUCUCCUCUGCUGUACCCCAGUAGCUUGUUGAGUGCUUUCCAACUUCACAGUGUCAUCUUCUGACACUAUCUCCUAGAUGAAACAUAUGGUUUCCAUGGUAAAAGACAUUUACCGUGCCUUCUUCUGCAAAGUACUAACACAUCUCAACUAUUUUUAGUUUAGUUUAUAGUGGCACUGCUGUCAUCCCUGAGAGAUCCUCUGUCAAUGUCUUUCAUACAGCACUACUACUGCUGUCUAGUGUCUUUUGGACACUUUUAAUCUGGGUCCUCACCAAAUGCUUUUCUGACAUGGGAGACUAUCCAUAAACCUAUCACCACAGAAAGGUAGUACCAUGGUGGAACAUCUUCACAUACCAAAUCUCAUUGGCUACACUGAGUGGUGACAUCAUCUCAUUCCCUUAGUAAUCUGCAAAGUAAAUUGGAUCCGCACUGCCCUAUAAUCUGGUUUCAGAAUGUGGAUUAACUGCACUGAACUAGAUUACAGUCUACACAGUUAAUCUACAUUCUGAAACUGGGUUAUAGGUCAGUGUAGAUCCAGCCUUAAUUGGACUGGUCACGGAACUAAGCCAAGAAGCACUGCUCUAGUUCUAAAAUGUCUCUGAGUCCCAUUAAUAAAAAUCAGAUCUCCUACAGGUUAUUAAGAUGCAAUGACCUUCACUAACUAAUGUGUUUGGAACUGAAAACACGGUAAUAAAUCCAAAGGGUAAAACAGUGAAAGAU